GAGGGAGGACAACAAAGGGGUGUGAGGGGCCGCGGCGGCAUGUGAGGGGCGACGGCGCCGGGGGCGGCUCAGCAGGUGGGAAGAAUGAAAGGAAGGGGGAAUGAAAGAAUGUUGAACCUUUUUGCCUGGCUGUAUGAUGGAAGGAAACAGAACAGAGAACCUCUGCAAUAGAUCGCUUGGAUGGCUUCAGCGACAAGAGAAUGAUGCUAAACCAUGGCUCUGGAAACUUUCUAAUUGCUUUUCUGCUGCUGAAAAGUCUUUGCCCUGCAGCGCGAAAACGAAAGAUUACAUGGAGAACAAGAAAGCUGCUGUGGAAUUGAAGGAUGCUUCAUCUCCUCAUAAUGCUGGCUCUAAGCUGUUUCCAGCAGUACCGCUUCCUGAUGUUCAUCCUCUUCAGCAACAGCAAAUACAGCUUUCACCUGGCCCGAAAGUAAGCUGCUGUGCUCAUGGCUCUGACUCUUCUUGUACUCCACAAAUGCAUUGUGGUGGUGGUGGUGGUAACUUGAUUCACCCUGGCACAAUAUUAGACUCAAAAGGCACUGGGACGAUUACUUGUCAAGUAGGGUCAGGAUUUGCCUAUCAAUCUGCAUCUUCACUGAAGAACCCUCCAGCUACAAGCAAUUUGGCGGGCAUUUCGAGUGAGUUCCCUGGCAUGUGCGUAGAAAACAGUGUAUCUUCCUGUCAGCAUCUGCCCUGUUGUGGAAAACUCCAUUUCCAGUCCUGUCAUGGUAAUGUGCACAAACUGCAUCAGUUUCCAGCCCUUCAGAGCUGCACGUCUUCUGGCUAUUUUCCUUGUUCUGAAUUCACGAGUGGGGCUACGGGCCACUUGGAUGAACAUAUUGCACAGUCGGAGCUAACAUCACAUGUGUGUGCCAACCCUUUGCACCUAAACAUGGCACCUUCAGUUUGUUUAAAGGGCUCUCACUACUGCAAUGACUGCUUGAGCAAGCCAACCAGAAACAGCCUAGUUGAUGCUGCUAAAAUCUGGCCAAAUAUUCCUCCUCCGAGUGCCCAGACCGCGCCUGUUCCUAUCCCCGUAUGUAAUGGCUGUGGAACCAAGGGAGCAGGGAAUGAGAAGAGUUUGCUGCUGGCGAGCAGCCUUGGCAAAUCACCACAGAAAUAUGGGUCUCCGGAAGUUGCAAUAACGGGCCAAGUUCUGGAAAACCUGCCCCCCAUUGGAGUCUUCUGGGACAUUGAAAACUGCUCGGUUCCCACAGGCCGUUCAGCUAUAGCAGUUGUACAGAGGAUUCGUGAAAAGUUUUUCAAAGGUCACAGGGAGGCAGAAUUCAUCUGUGUGUGUGACAUCAGUAAAGAAAAUAAAGAAGUUAUCCAGGAGCUAAACAACUGCCAGGUGACUGUUGCACACAUCAAUGCUACAGCAAAGAAUGCUGCUGAUGACAAACUCAGACAGAGUCUUAGGAGAUUUGCCGAUACACACACCGCACCUGCCACUGUGGUUCUUGUGUCAACGGAUGUAAACUUUGCUUUGGAACUCAGUGACCUGAGACAUCGACAUGGUUUUCAGAUAAUUUUGGUACAUAAAAACCAAGCUUCAGAAGCACUUUUACAUCAUGCUCAUGUGCUUAUUUGUUUUGAAGAAUUUAUUUCAGACUUGCCACCAAGGUUACCGCUGAAAAUGCCGGCAUGCCAUACGCUGUUAUAUGUUUAUAAUCUGCCAACAAACAGAGACAGCAAAAGUGUCAGUAAUAGACUCAGGCGUUUGUCAGACAACUGUGGAGGGAAGGUGCUGAGCAUUUCUGGAAGCAGUGCAAUUCUCCGUUUUUUAAAUCAAGAAAGUGCUGAACGGGCUCGGAAGCGAAUGGAAAAUGAAGAUGUUUUUGGUAACAGGAUUGUAGUGUCUUUUACUCCCAAAAACAAAGAACUUAAUGAAACAAAAAGCUUCAGCUUUGUGGGAACUGAAAAGGUGAAGUCUCCCAAAAAAAUUAACAAGAACACAAAGCUGUGCCUCCUCAGCAAAGAUUCAAGUGAUCAGUCUUCUGGUACCAAAGGCUCUGCUGGGAGAGGAUUCCAGAUUCAUGGAUCUAUCAUCAAACCCACAAAUGUUAAAAGUUUACAGGAGCUGUGCCGCCUUGAAUCAAAGACCAUCAGUAGAAAUAUUGAAAACCAGCAAGAACAUUUAAGAGAACAAAUUCCCUCUCCUCAGAGUAACCCUAGUGCAGCGAUUUCUGCAUCUCUGGCAACCAAAAAAAUUGGAACGGGAGAAUCAUCCUGUAAAAGUAGUCAAAAAAGAGACACCUCUGCUUCCAGGAGCAUUACCAAUUCCCCUGUAGAUAAAAAAGAUAAAGAUGAAACUGUAUUUCAGGUCAGCUAUCCCUCUGCUUUCAGUAAGUUGACGGCCUCAAGACAACUCAGUCCUUUACUCAUGUCUCAGAGUUGCUGGUCAUCUCGGAGUAUGUCUCCAAACCUCUCAAAUAGAUCAUCUCCACUCACAUUUAAUGUAGUAAAUCAUACCAGUGGUACAGACUGCCCUGAUCCUUUUGCAAAUGGUGCAGACAUUCAGAUCAGCAAUAUUGAUUACAGAUUAUCCAGAAAAGAGUUGCAGCAAAAUUUACAAGAAAUUUUCUCAAGACAUGGCAAGGUAAAAAGUGUAGAGCUGAGUCCUCAUACAGACUACCAGUUGAAGGCAACAGUUCAGAUGGAAAACCUGCAAGAAGCAAUCAGUGCUGUCAACAGUCUUCACAGAUACAAAAUUGGCAGUAAAAGGAUCCAGGUCUCAUUAGCAACAGGAGCUGCGAGUAAAUCACUUUCUCUACUUAGCUCAGAAACGAUGUCCAUUCUGCAGGAUGCACCUGCUUGUUGUCUGCCUGUGUUCAAAUUCACAGAAAUCUAUGAAAAAAAAUUUGGGCACAAGUUAAUUAUAUCAGACUUGUAUAAACUAACGGAUACGGUGGCAAUCCGUGAGCAAGGGAGCGGGCGGCUGGUGUGCCUUUUACCCAGCAGCCAAGCCCGACAGAGUCCAUUGGGAUCUUCGCAGUCACAUGAUGGUUCAUCAGCAAACUGUAGCCCUAUAAUAUUCGAAGAGUUGGAAUAUCACGAGCCUGUUUGUAAGCAGCAUUGCCUGAAUAAAGACUUUAUUGAGCAUGACUUUGAUCCAGAUUCUUACAGAAUUCCCUUUGUGAUUUUGUCUCUGAAGACAUUUGCUCCCCAAGUUCACAGUCUUCUACAGACACAUGAGGGUACUGUGCCUUUACUAAGUUUUCCUGAUUGUUAUAUGUCAGAGUUCAAUGAUCUUGAAGUGGUGCCAGAAGGCCAGGGUGGUGUUCCUUUAGAACAUCUGAUUACCUGUGUUCCUGGAGUUAACAUUGCCACUGCCCAAAAUGGCAUUAAAGUUAUUAAAUGGAUACAUAACAAACCACCGCCACCUACUGCAGAUCCUUGGCUUCUACGUUCUAAGAGUCCUGUAGGCAAUCCACAACUUAUUCAGUUCAGUAGAGAAGUGAUAGAUCUACUUAAAAGCCAGCCGUCCUGCGUCAUACCUGUCAGUAAAUUCAUCCCAACAUACCAUCAUCACUUUGCAAAGCAAUGCCGCGUGUCUGACUACGGGUAUUCUAAAUUAAUGGAGCUGCUAGAAGCAGUGCCUCACGUACUGCAAAUUCUUGGUAUGGGUUCCAAACGCUUGUUAACUCUGACACACAGAGCUCAAGUGAAGCGCUUUACUCAAGACUUACUGAAGCUUCUCAAAUCCCAGGCCAGUAAGCAAGUUAUUGUGAGGGAAUUCUUACAGGCUUAUCACUGGUGUUUCUCUAAGGACUGGGAUGUUACUGAAUAUGGAGUGUGUGAACUGGCUGAUAUUAUAUCAGAAAUUCCAGACACAACCAUCUGUUUGUCACAGCAAGACAAUGAAAUGGUAAUUUGUAUUCCCAAAAGAGAACGUACACAAGAAGAAAUUGAAAGAACCAAACAAUUUUCUAAAGAGGUAGUAGACUUACUGCGCCAUCAACCCCAUUUUCGAAUGCCCUUCAAUAAAUUUAUUCCUUCUUACCACCACCACUUUGGUCGUCAGUGCAAACUUGCUUACUAUGGUUUUACAAAACUACUUGAACUCUUUGAAGCCAUACCAGAUGUCUUACUUGUAUUGGAAUGUGGGGAGGAGAAAAUUCUCACACUCACGGAGGUGGAACAAGUCAAAGCAGUUGCUGCCCAGUUUGUUAAACUGCUGGCAUCUCAGAAGGACAACUGCCUCUUGAUGACUGAUGUACUGACAGAGUACAGUAAAACAUUUGGAUACACACUGCGUCUUCAUGACUAUGAUGUUAGCUCAGUUCCAGCUUUAAUGCAAAAACUUCGCCAUGUCGUAAAGGUUGUUGACAAAGAGUCUGGCAAAAAAAUUCAGCUGAUAAAUAGAAAAUCUUUGCGGACUCUGACUGCCCAGUUGCUGGUCUUGUUGAUGUCCUGGGAUGGAACGUCCUUUCUCUCUGUUGAACAGCUUAAACAGCAUUAUGAAACAGUCCAUAGUACUCCGCUUAAUCCCUGCGAAUAUGGAUUUAUGACCUUAACUGAACUCCUGAAGAGUCUGCCUUACUUGGUUGAGGUUUUUACCAAUGGUGCAGCAGGAGAAUAUGUGAAGCUUACAAAUCUGUAUAUGUUUGCAAAGAAUGUCAGGUCCUUACUUCACACUUAUCACUAUCAGCAGAUUUUUCUUCAUGAGUUCCCAGUAGCAUAUAGCAAAUACACAGGAGAAGUGCUGCAACCUAAAGCAUAUGGAUGCAAUAACUUAGAAGAGCUCUUGGGAGCAAUUCCACAGGUGGUCUGGAUUAAAGGACAUGGCCAUAAGAGAAUUGUGGUACUGAAGAACGACAUGAAAACUCGUUUUAGCUCACCUAGUUUUCCCCCUGCUGAUCAUGUGGAUGAUCAUGGAAAUCAACUUGCUGACAAUAAUGGACAUAUUAUGGAGACCCCAGGAUCCACUUCAUCAAUGGAACUAAAUCUAGGAACACCUAGCAAUGUUUCUAAUCAAACUGAGCAAGAACUUCUCUGCCUCACAAAUACAUCUCCCGUUGACCUCCUGUGUGAGCCAGUCCCUUCCUGCCUACCAUCCCCACAGUUGAGACCUGAUCCAGUGGUUCUGGAGUCUGCAGACCUCAUUCAGUUUGAGGAACGCCCUGCACCCCUCCCAGAGAUAAUGAUUUUAACAGAAGAAGAAAAACAAAGGAUUGUUACCACAGCUCAAGAGAACUUGACCUCUGGUUCUGUGGUAUCCAGCACCACAGAGAAUGCUUCAGUGCCUCCCUGUCAGUCCUCCGACACCCAGCUAAGCAAGGAAGCAAUGGACAGCCCAGCCAAAAAGCAACACAAAAACAAGCUUGCUGAAGACAGUAAUUAUCCAGGAAUUACAAGUCUGACAAGAGUGCUUUGAACUUUACUUCAGUAUCUAACAAAAUAAUAAUAAAAUAAUCUGCAACUGAAUUGGACUGUUCUGUCAUCUCCCAGCUUUAUGGACAGAAGUAAAGAGCCGGAUGAGGUGCUCCCGGCUGUUUUGUGUGUAUGGUCUCGUUGCAUAUUCUCACUUAAUGGCGCUGUUAAGUGGAACAGUCUGCUAGAGAAAAUAAAUGUCAGGCCUGCCGCAGUUUGAGCGGAGGAGCUGACGCAAGGCUUUUCCUUCAGCCAGAGCAAAGCCGCAGGGUGGGCAGGAGUGAAAGCAAGCGAUCUCUCUAUAGAACGGGCUGAGGACUUGGUGUGCCCACCGAGGACAGGCUGCUCUCUGUGUUCUGCAGGGUCUCAGGUCUUGGUGCAGAGAGAAAAGCUGCCUGCCUGGAGGAAGGCGUGCGGCCUGUCUUUGCAGGUAACCUUUUUGCAAUUUGAAUAUUUAAUUUCUUUUGUGCCUCUGAAAACCUUGGCUUUAAGUGAUUUCUUAGUCACAGCUUGACCUUGAUACCUGUUCAGUCUGUGUGGCCAUAGAAAGUCAGAUGCUGAUGUACUUUAACGUCAGCAUUUUAUUAACGUAUAGUGUGAUGUCUUACAGUGGAUGUAUGCUAUGGAACAAGUGAUGUACGCAGAGAUCUUU